rnacentral:rRNA from 1 species
UACAGAGGUGGCAAGCGUUGUUCGGAAUUACUGGGCGUAAAGGGCGCGUAGGCGGUUCGGUAAGUCCCGUGUGAAAUCCCUCGGCUCAACUGAGGAACUGCACGGGAGACUGCCGGGCUUGAGUUCGGGAGAGGUGAGUGGAACUGCGAGUGUAGAGGUGAAAUUCGUAGAUAUUCGCAAGAACACCAGUGGCGAAGGCGGCUCACUGGCCCGAUACUGACGCUGAGGCACGAAAGCGUGGGGAGCAAACAGG